AUGGCCAACGGGGGUCAAAGUGUACCAUCUGUUCUUAUCAGCUUGAUAUCUGAUAUGGGUUCUAUUUGUAUCGAAGAUAUCAAACUUAUUUUUGCAAGUUGGCGGAGUGCUUGAAGCCUGCUUCACCUUUGGAGCAGGUCCGCCCACAGUCCUUGCACACAGAGUAUAUAUAACCUACGCAUU